UUUUACUGAUCCUUUUAUUUUAUAUUUACAUGGAAUUAUUGUUUAAAUAUUUAAGUGUCAUAAUAGGUUGGAUAUAAUAAAUUAGGUUCAUUGAUGUGUACCUUAUGUUGUAAAUAUCGUAGGAAUGAUAUAAGCAUGCUUGUGUCUGUGAUGCGAUUCAUUUUAUUUUGCAUUGCUUAAAGUUGGAUAUUUAAUAUGUAUUGCUUAAGUUGUUU
rnacentral:lncRNA from 1 species